UCGAGUCCGGUAGCGGUGGCGGGUAUCUGCUGGCGGUUUGGCUAGGUUUCUGCGGUCGCGUCAUUUUCUCCGCAGUGCCCAGGUAACGGUUCUUUCAUCCUUUUCUCUGCUUGGAGGCCUUAACAAAAGCGACUUCUGCAGCGGGUCCCUGGAGUUUGCCGGAGGAGACGCGGAAUGGGCGCGCGGCCGGGCGGGGAACGGUCCUCCGCGCGGGCUGCGGCGGCUCCGGGAGUACCAGUCUCUGGACCACCGCCUCGGCGGGGUCAUGAAAUCCAGUGCCAAGUGUGAGCCUCUCCAAGGGGCUGGCACCGGACAGCUCGGCGCACCGUACAUCUCAGCUGCUUCCCCCGGUGGAAGACAGUUUUACCCAGGCCUGCGGCUGCUCGUUUUGUCCCCAGUAAGAAUAAUUCUAUUAGGAAGCGGUUCUUGAGACGGAGCAUCUCGUCAGAAGCUCGAGAUUCAAGCUCAGUCGAGCUUAACAUAAAAACGCACGCUUCUUUAUUUACACGCUGUCAGUCUUUAGGUUCGAGUUAACGUGGUUUUCCAAAACUCCGGGUAGGCUUUUCUGGGAAAAGAUGCCGGACUGGGUGAAGCAGACGCUUGAAGACUGCAGAAUUGGUUUCCCAAAUAUUCAGUUUGAUGGCUCAGUUUCCAAAAGUUGAAAACAACCUAAAAAUAAGUUUGUGCAGCGAUUAUUGCGGUUUUAAGAUGCAGAUGAGAAAAGGUAGUUUAAUAUCGUCUGCAGGUGUGA
rnacentral:lncRNA from 1 species